GGAUGAGAUGGCCGCAAGCCUGAUCCAGCAAUGCCGCGUGAGUGAAGAAGGCCUUCGGGUUGUAAAGCUCUUUCAGUUGAGAAGAAAAAGUCGUGACUAAUAAUCAUGAUUCAUGACGGUAUCAACAGAAGAAGCACCGGCUAACUACGUGCCAGCAGCCGCGGUAAUACGUAGGGUGCAAGCGUUAAUCGGAAUUACUGGGCGUAAAGGGUGCGCAGGCGGUUCUGUAAGUCAGAUGUGAAAUCCCCGG
rnacentral:rRNA from 1 species